rnacentral:rRNA from 1 species
CCUACGGGGGGCUGCAGUGGGGAAUAUUGGACAAUGGGGGGAACCCUGAUCCAGCCAUGCCGCGUGUGUGAAGAAGGCCCUCGGGUUGUAAAGCACUUUCAGUGAGGAAGAACGCCUGGUGGUUAAUACCCAUCAGGAAAGACAUCACUCACAGAAGAAGCACCGGCUAACUCCGUGCCAGCAGCCGCGGUAAUACGGAGGGUGCGAGCGUUAAUCGGAAUUACUGGGCGUAAAGCGCGCGUAGGUGGCUUGAUAAACCGGUUGUGAAAGCCCCGGGCUCAACCUGGGAACGGCAUCCGGAACUGUCAAGCUAGAGUGCAGGAGAGGAAGGUAGAAUUCCCGGUGUAGCGGUGAAAUGCGUAGAGAUCGGGAGGAAUACCAGUGGCGAAGGCGGCCUUCUGGACUGACACUGACACUGAGGUGCGAAAGCGUGGGUAGCAAACAGGAUUAGAUACCCUGGUAGUC